rnacentral:rRNA from 1 species
UACAGAGGUCUCAAGCGUUGUUCGGAUUCAUUGGGCGUAAAGGGUGCGUAGGCGGCGCGGUAAGUCGGGUGUGAAAGUCCAGGGCUCAACCCUGGGAUGCCGGUCGAUACUGCCGGACUAGAGUUCGGAAGAGGCGAGUGGAAUCCCCGGUGUAGCGGUGAAAUGCGCAGAUAUCGGGAGGAACACCUAUGGCGAAGGCAGCUCGCUGGGACGUUACUGACGCUGAGACGCGAAAGCGUGGGGAGCAAACAGG